UACGAAAGCAAAAAAUUAUGGCGGUAUUUUAAGCUUUUCAGAGGAAUUUGCUCUUUAAUGGAUAAAACACCUGAAUCUUACUUAAAUUUGUUAAUUCAAUUUGUAUACCACUAUAAAAACAAUUAAUAACUUUAAUUGUUUAAACUUAUUAAAUUAAAUUAUAUUAAGUCAAGGUGCAGUAAAAAUUUAAGAAUGAAGUGAAUUACAUUUCUUUUUAGAGAAAGAAAUUUAAAUAACAUUUAGGAUUUGAAAGUAAAAUUGAAAU
rnacentral:rRNA from 1 species